rnacentral:rRNA from 1 species
GCGAAACUGCGAACGGCUCAUUAAAACAGUUAUUGUUUAUUUGAUGAAUUCUACUACAUGGAUAACCGUAGUAAAUCACAGCUAAUACAUGCAAUAAAAGCCCGACUUCGGAAGGGCUGUAUUUAUUAGAUUAAACACCAACCGGCUUCGGCCGUUUCCGGUGAAUCAUGAUGACUAAACGAAUCGCAGAGCCCUUGCGGCGGCGAUACUUCAUUCAAAUUUCUGCCCUAUCAGCUUUCAACCGUAGGAUAUGGGCCUACGGUGGCUACAACGGGUCACGGAGAAUCAGGGUUCGAUUCCGGAGAGGGAGCCUGAGAAACGGCUACCACAUCCAAGGAAGGCAGCAGGCGCGCAAAUUACCCAAUGCGAAUUUCGCGAGGUAGUGACAAGAAAUAACCACAAUUUGAUUAUUAAUCGAAUUGAUGGGAAUGAUGCGGAACUAAACAAACCGCAAAGGAGCCAUAGGAGGGAAAGUCUGGUGCCAGCAGCCGCGGUAAUUCCAGCUCCUGUAGCGUACACUAAAGUUGUUGCAGUUAAAAAGCUCGUAGUCGGAUUUCUGGGCGGGUUGUGCACGCC